rnacentral:rRNA from 1 species
AGAGUUUGAUUAUGGCUCAGGAUAAACGCUGGCGGCGUGCUUAACACAUGCAAGUCGAACGAAGUUUUUCUUUCGGGAGGAACUUAGUGGCGGACGGGUGAGUAACGCGUGGGUAACCUGCCCUGUACAGGGGGACAACAGCUGGAAACGGCUGCUAAUACCGCAUAAGCCCUUAGCACUGCAUGGUGCAUAGGGAAAAGGAGCAAUCCGGUACAGGAUGGACCCGCGUCUGAUUAGCCAGUUGGCAGGGUAACGGCCUACCAAAGCGACGAUCAGUAGCCGAUCUGAGAGGAUGUACGGCCACAUUGGGACUGAGACACGGCCCAG